rnacentral:lncRNA from 1 species
CCGACUGGCACUGAAGAUUCUAAUGGAUGCUCUGAACAAUUAGAGGGCCUCUUCAGCUGCUUUUUCAGUUUGAAGUUAUGAUUGGAGGAGACCUCGAAAUUCAGCUGUGUGCAGUAUUUACAGGAUUCCUCUAAAAUCCAAGGACAUAAGAUGAGAACCCAAAUAAACAGAAAACAUCAAAAUAUGUCGCCCAGGGCCAGGUGGAAAAGAUUUGUUACUAAUUCCAGGGAAGAACUGUUCGCGUCGUGGGGGUGAAACGGUUGCCAGCGUUCACACUUCAGUGCUUGUAGACCAGGAGACUGGAAACGAAAGGGUUACUUGUUUCCCCACCACCGCCUUUACCCCCAGAUCGAUUUUUCUUAUUUAAUCAGAAAGUAAAAAGAGAGACACGGGGGGAAAAAAAAUUGGAAGAAGGGCAAAGUGGUGGGGGAGGGUUGAAAGCCAGAAGCUGCAAUACAGAAAAUCAGUCUCGGGAGUUCGCGCUGCCGAGUCCUUGCAACAAGGAAGAGAAGCCAGCAAAACGCUCGCAGUGGUUUCCUCACAGUCACCCUCCCUUUUCUCCUCGCUACGCGCUAGUGGCUCAUUUGGCUUCCCUCUGCCACCGAGCGAUCACAUACAUUAUUUCCCCCAAGAUAACACAAUCAAACUUGUAUUUAUCGACAUCCUCUCCUCGCAGUCUGUUUGAGAUUUGUUUUAAUAAAUAAGUGUUUUAUGUGAAUGAUGUAGUAAUUGAAAUGGGCGCACCAUUUUUUUUUCUUCUUACUGCAGGAGGUUCCUCAACCCCAAUCUGGUUGGAAAAUAAA